GGAAGUAAAGUCGUAACAAGGUCUCCGUUGGUGAACCAGCGGAGGGACCAUUACAGAGUUGCAAAACUCCCAAACCAUUGUGAACGUUACCUAUCCCGUUGCUUCGGCGGGCGGCCCGGGCCCCGCGCCCGGCGCCCCCCGGCCCCCCGUGGGCGCCCGCCGGAGGUAAACCAAACCCUUGAAUUGCAUGGCCUCUCUGAGUCUUCUGUACUGAAUAAGUCAAAACUUUCAACAACGGAUCUCUUGGUUCUG
rnacentral:misc_RNA from 1 species